rnacentral:ncRNA from 2 species
GUAAUCCCCUAGGGGUGCUUCCGGAAUCGCGGAGGCUGAGAGAAGGCGAGUCUGCCUUUAACCCUUGGAACCUGAUUCGACUGGGUAAUGCCAGCGUAGGGAAGCGGGAUGGCGAACAC